rnacentral:misc_RNA from 1 species
ACCCAGGUACAGCCGACUGAACGGGGUGCAAUAGCGGAGGAUGGUCCCAUGGAGGCUCCUCCACACCAGGGCUGCGCUCAGUACCACGUGUCUCGUGGGUAACGACGACUGCACCUCAAGACAUCGACAUUCCAGACGAGGAGGCGGCUGGAGUGUGGGGCCCGCGGCCUGGCUUCUCGUUGUCACUGUCUUCACCCUGACGAUAGCGCAGGUCGUCGCUGGUGCCGUGUGGCUGGUGAUGUGUCGCAGCAAGUGUCGGUCGUGCAAGCUUUCCUCCGUGUGCUGAGGUUGCCGGAGCUCUGUAGGUGCGACUUCUCGGUUAUCAACAAAGGUUACAGUUCGGCCACCGACCCUUGUUACGGAGGUCACAUAGCGGGAUCCUCAGGACUGAGCCACAUCCUGUUUUCCUCCCUCAGCGACAGGAGAACCACAGAAGUUCAAUCAAAGUGUUGGAUCAAAACCCAGAACUUGUUUUUUGUUUUUGUCUGGAAUUCUGUAUCUUGUGACAACAGCAAGAAACAUCACUCACUUUUUUAUACAGAAAUUGGUGUAAUUUCUGCGAUUCAAGUUGCCAAGGAUAUGCGAACCGACUUGUCUGAACACUCCGCACAUCAUGUCGACCACUGACUGAGAAAAUUUCUUCGAUCCAAUCUGCUAAAAUCAUCUAAUCUGCAUUUUUUACUUUUUUCUUCGUCAGCAGCAGCAUCAUCCGGUUUCCGAUGCCACUGUGCCAUAAAGUACUCCCCAAAAUCAGCAGCAACACUCCAGUCCUCGACUUCAAAAAGGCUUUUGACAUGGCGAGCACGCCUGCCACCACGACAACCUCUCCA